rnacentral:pre_miRNA from 1 species
UGGAAUAACAACCGCAGUGGCGGAAGCAGGUCUGGAGCCCUGGAGUCAGCUCCUGCAGUAACUACAAAGCUCUUGGUCUGCAGGGCCUUGAGGCUCCAGGGCGGG